GUGUUUUAUCAUUUGAUUUUGCCAUUUGAAUAGGGACUUUCCGUUCAGUAUUUUUGUGACUGUACUUUUUUCAACUGAUUUGGAAACGUUUCAUAAAUAUUAAACUUAGUAAUUUAACUGCUUGUUAAGUACAAGUUUCUUUUUACAUAUAUGAUAUAUUAUGUAAAUUGAAAUGAAAUAUGUUAAUCAUAAUUCUGAGCCAAC
rnacentral:lncRNA from 1 species